UAUGUGAUAGCCUGGGAAGUGGGAGAAUGUAGCUGUAGAAAGCGAACAUAAACACAGGAUUUUCAAAUAAACCAACUAAGGAAUUGAAAUAAUUAUUUGAGGUCGUACAUAAACUGGAUUUUGACUCUAUCGGAAUGGCAGGUAGCGGUGCUGUACCAUCCAGAUGUUGACCGAAUGUUGCUGUAGCGUACAGGUGUAUGCUAAUGCAGGAGGAAGAGGCAGCAGCUAGAACUGGGCAACCCGCUAUUCUCCUCUCAUUUUGACAUCGGCACUUGGAAACCUAACGCCCAACACUGACCCCAAGUGGAUUUUAUUCAAUAUGUACUUUAAAAACACACCAGGCAUUGUCUGCUCUCAGCAAGACCUGGGGUCUUGGACCAGCAUACUGCGUCCAGGGGCCUCAUUUAUAAAAAUGUUCUUGGACUUGUAUCUUUGGAGGUUUGCGUGCAGCCCUCAAACAUGCAGUACCUUCACAUAACCAGCAGAUCUUUAUCCAGUUGACCUGAGUUCCAUCAAGCUGAUCCAGGACCAGGUUUACCCAAUCAUGAUCUGGACGUCCACCCAACAUGUGAAGUUUCAGACUAUAGAAGACACUGCAUGUGGUCUACUGAGUUCAGAGGUUCAUAUGAUUCUGAUAUUUGGAAUCUAUGUGCCCUGUAUUGUGGCAUUUUGUUCUGCAGUGAUGUUAUGCUCUGAGUGAUUGUGUGUGUGUGUGUGAGCGUUCAUAAGGCAGACAUCCCUGCAGUCUGACCUUUGUAUUGUGUGAACGUUUAAAUCCAACCUCCCAUUCGAAAGCAGGCAUGCUACAAUAGUAUUUCAGUUGUUUUAGCAAUGGGGACAACUCCACUGUCUCUCAGUUGUGACUCUCACUGAUAGUCCAGUCCAGAAUACAGGCUGGGAUCACAGGUAAAUGGAGCAUGUGCUGCUUGAUGUCUGUUUGGUGCCAGGGGCAUGAUUAAGGCCUCAGUGCUAUGUAUGUGCUUAACGUAGCUUGGGAGACAUCACAAGCUGAAGAUCCAUGCUGUUCUGAGCGUUCGAGUUGCACAUGACCUAUUCAAUUGUGUGACAAUGGGCAAAUGUAUAACCAAAAUAAUCUAUGACAACAACCACCAACUACACCAAACUCCCUCCAUGCCAUGCCCUCACAGGGGGUUACAGAUUACAACUUCCCCACCCCCAGGGUGACAGGAUGGCCGAAGAGAGGCCAGGGCCAGUCAUGUAUGAGCCCUUAAUCACAGCCUUUUGACACCCAGAGAUUGGGCCCAUAAGACAGCCCAGCACUCCGAUAUGGUCGUAUUGACAGUGCUGGUUACAUAUUAACCAGGUCCGUGCCUCUCCUGAUGGAAACAGCAAACAUAGGGCCAAUUGGUAAUGUAGAAAUAGGACAAGCCCCUGUCUCUGUUUUAACUUGGAAGAGAUGUGAAUGUCUGUAGGAUGAAUUUCACCAUUAGUGUGGGAUGCUUUGACAGGUAUCCUCAAACCUGGUAGGUUCAUUUUCAUAGCUAUCCAGUCUUUAAUUGAUCAAAGUGGUUGAAUGCACAGUUAACACUUGGUUUCUUGAGUCAUAUGUUUAAUGAUGAUUUUAAUGUAAAAAUAAAUGUCAGCAUACACUUUUUGGUA